rnacentral:lncRNA from 1 species
CCCCCUUUGACAAUUGUUUAGAUUCAACUCAAAGGAACAUCAUUUCAUCACAAUACUUAGUGAUAUCUGACCUUGAAGCUGAAACAGCAAGGAAAGAAAUGUGAAGAUAAUGAUUUUGUACACAUGGAACCCUCAUGGUCCACAGAACUUAUCUGAAAAUGGAAGCAAAUAUUAUGAAGUUCUGAGAACUGAGCUGUGAUGAGUUCUAUCACAGCAAUGACUUUUGAAAUCCAGAAAGCCCCUGAGGAACAGAAGGAGACUGGUUUUGCCCUAUGAUCUGUCAUGUAUCAGAAUGUGAUACUGUCUAAUACUAUAGUUUAAGACAUUUCUAACUAGGGAGUGAACAGGUAUUUAUUCUUCUUACAGAAAUAAAGAAGAGAAUA